AUUGAACGCUGGAAGCAGGCCAACCACAUGAAAGUCGAGCGAGCGGAGGACGGGUGUGUCAUGUCUGGGAAACUGCUUGAUGUAGGGGGAAAACUACUGGAAACGGUAGCUACUACCGUAUACCAUCAGAUGUGCGCAGAUGGGAUUAGCUAGUAGGUGGGGUAAUGGCUCACCUAGGCGACGAUCCCUAGCUGGUCUGUGAGGAUGACCAGCCACACGGGAACUGAGACACGGUCCAGACUCCUACGGGAGGCAGCAGUGGGGAAUAUUGCACAAUGGGCGCAAGCCUGAUGCAGCCAUGCCGCGUGUAUGAAGAAGGCCUUCGGGUUGUAAAGUACUUUCAGCGAGGAGGCGUUACUCGCAGAAGAAGCACCGGCUAACUCCGUGCCAGCAGCCGCGGUAAUUC
rnacentral:rRNA from 1 species